UCCUACGGGAGGCAGCAGUGGGGAAUAUUGCACAAUGGGCGAAAGCCUGAUGCAGCGACGCCGCGUGAGGGAUGACGGCCUUCGGGUUGUAAACCUCUUUCAGCAGGGAAGAAGCGAAAGUGACGGUACCUCAGAAAAGCGCCUAAUCCC
rnacentral:rRNA from 1 species